rnacentral:misc_RNA from 1 species
GAUGAAGAACGCAGCGAAAUGCGAUAAGUAGUGUGAAUUGCAGAAUUCAGUGAAUCAUCGAAUCUUUGAACGCACAUUGCGCCCUUUGGUAUUCCAAAGGGCAUGCCUGUUCGAGCGUCAUUUGUACCCUCAAGCUUUGCUUGGUGUUGGGCGUCUUGUCUCCAGUUCGCUGGAGACUCGCCUUAAAGUAAUUGGCAGCCGGCCUACUGGUUUCGGAGCGCAGCACAAGUCGCGCUCUCUUCCAGCCAAGGUCAGCAUCCACAAAGCCUUUUUUCAACUUUUGACCUCGGAUCAGGUAGGGAUACCCGCUGAACUUAAGCAUAUCAAUAAGCGGAGG